CGCGUAGGCGGCCAUGCGUGUCUUCCGUGAAAUCCCUCGGCUUAACUGAGGACGUGCGGAAGAAACUGCAAGGCUUGAGUCCGGGAGAGGGGGGUGGAAUUCCCAGUGUAGCGGUGAAAUGCGUAGAUAUUGGGAGGAACACCGGUGGCGAAGGCGGCCCCCUGGACCGGUACUGACGCUGAGGCGCGAAAGCGUGGGUAGCAAACG
rnacentral:rRNA from 1 species